rnacentral:tRNA from 1 species
GCCUGGGUGGCUCAGUCGGUUGAGCGUCCGACUUCGACUCAGGUCAUGAUCUCGCGGUCCGUGGGUUCGAGCCCCGCGUCGGGCU